UUUUUAAAAGGAGGGAGAGAUUUUGAAAUUAAAAAAGUUGGGAGGAGAUGAAGAGACUAAUCCUAAGCAUAAACUUAAAAGCUAAGAGUUGAAAAGAUCUGACCAAUGGGCUGCAAUCCAAUAUACAAGAAUGUCGUAUAGAAACCCAAAUUCCCUUGGACAUUAUAAUCAAGCAACAAAAAAUUCAUAAUAUAUCAACUUGAAGAGCAAGGCAUCA
rnacentral:lncRNA from 1 species